rnacentral:rRNA from 1 species
AUUGAACGCUGGCGGCAGGCCUAACACAUGCAAGUCGAGCGAGCGGCGGACGGGUGAGUAAUGUCUGGGAAACUGCCUGAUGGAGGGGGAUAACUACUAGAAACGGUAGCUACUACCGCAUACCAUCAGAUGUGCCCCGAUGGGAUUAGCUAGUAGGUGGGGUAAUGGCUCACCUCGGCGACGAUCCCUAGCUGGUCUGAGAGGAGGACCAGCCACACUGGAACUGAGACACGGUCCAGACGCCGACGGGAGGCAGCAGUGGGGAAUAUUGCACAAGGGGUGCAAGCCUGAUGCAGCCAUGCCGCGUGUGUGAAGAAGGCCUUCGGGUUGUAAAGCACUUUCAGUGGGGAGGCGUUACCCGCAGAAGAAGCACCGGCUAACUCCGUGCCAGCAGCCGCGGUAAUAC